rnacentral:rRNA from 1 species
UACGGAGGGUGCGAGCGUUGUCCGGAAUCACUGGGCGUAAAGGGCGCGUAGGUGGCCUGUGGAAGUCUGCGGUGAAAGCCCGGCGCUCAACGCCGGGUCGGCCGUGGAUACUCUCGGGCUCGAGCUUACUAGAGGCAGACGGAAUUCCGGGUGUAGCGGUGGAAUGCGUAGAGAUCCGGAAGAACACCGGUGGCGAAGGCGGUCUGCUGGGGUAAUGCUGACACUGAUGCGCGACAGCGUGGGGAGCAAACAGG